CCUCAAGGGUAGUUGCAGGUGCAUUCACUUGACCUCUACGAAGGAUGAACAUUUCCCAUGAGUUUUCCACUUGUGUUUCAUCCUUGCCUUUGCUUCAGUUUCCUGUGAGACAAAUUGGAGUUUGACAUCCCUCCUCAAGAUGCCUCCUCCAAGACCAGAGUUCCCUGUGGCUGAGCUGUGUGUGCAGAGAGCACCUUUCUCUCUCCUUGGGAAGCCCUUUGAAUGUAGAAACUCUGCAUUCCUCAUUCCUGUGCCCUCCCUCUCCCCAGUGGCUAGGACUUAACACCAAAGGGUGCUCAGGAAACAAAUGGAAGCAGGGCACUAACCAACUCCAGGAGGACUGGGAGCAUGUUUCCCGCUGAAUCCCUGCCAUCUUGACCACUGCCUGGCAAGAGAAGACACUCUACCAACAUUUUUUUAGGUGCAGUGAGAUUAGUGGUAAUUUAAAAAGCAGGAUUGCCUCUGUGUCAAUUUCCCGCUAAUGAGCAAAACUCGCCGUGUAAUUGCUAUGUAUUGAACGAAGCAACAAUACAUUUUCAGUGGCUGUUUAAUAUGCUGGGGCUUGGUUUAACAGAUGUUCUGAGACUCGCUUUCCAAGACGGAGGAGCCAAGCCCAGAAGAAGAAGGUGACAUUUCCCUUUCUUUUGCCUCUGUCCAGUGCUGCAUCCCUUGGAGGGCAUGAGGCAAGGCCACGUGAGACACAGUCGGUGCUAGAUUCCUGGAGGCAGAGCUGAGGGUAGGUCUUGAAACCAGCGAGGGUAGCAAGCAGAGGAAGAUGACGAUCCAUUCCUCUUCUGAUCUUCACUAUAAGGGGCACCAAGCCCUGGGUCAUGACAAGGUCUUAUAUUUAGCAUGGACUUGCAACCAAAGGUAAGCUCCACGAGGGCAAGGAUUUAUGGCCUUUUUCUUCCAUGGAUGACUCUGAAACGCCUAGAACAGUACCUGGCACACAGUAGGUGCUCCACUAAUGCUGAAUGAAUGAUGCAUGUGGAAGGCUGAGUCUGGUUCCCACAACACAGU
rnacentral:lncRNA from 1 species